rnacentral:lncRNA from 1 species
CUCAAAACUCCCAUGCUGUGAAAAAUACUAGCAAGGAAGUCGGGACUUUUCUAGAAGGUGCUCUCGUAAUUCAAGUGACAGCCAUAUCUGCAGUCCCUUAUAAGUGAAAAGAUCAAGUGUCACAAUACCCCAUUUCCUCCCCUUGAAUCCCUGACACCCAAGCAGUGCAGUACUGGGCCUUGAUGUUUAAGAAGUACACAGGGACAUUUUGAUUUGUCAUAAUUUCCGAGGAUGUUACUGGCAUGUAGUUAGCAUGCCCAAGGGAUGCUGGCACCCACACAACCAAUGUCCCACCCAGAAAUGCUAGUGGACUCCUACAGGUUGGCCAUGUGGCCUUGAAGGUGUUUGAACUGAAAAUACUUCCUCUCUGGGCCAUGACUCCUGGGCUGAUCAGAUCCAAUCUCUGAAGAAGUUUGAGAACCAAACCUAGAAAAAGUGAACUGAAAUAAUGGCGGCCAACAGAGGCCAAAUCAGGAAUCUGGUAGAGUCACUGUGCAAGGAAAUAUGUGUGAUGCUUCUAAGGAACAAUGACAUGCCAGGGUCCCGUGACUUCCAUGGGUUGCAAAGGGCAUGACCAAUGUCCCAAGGUAUUGUGAGGCCCCACAUGAACUCUCAUCAGCUAGAUAGCAGAUAUAUUAACUUACAAAAGAGCCUAUAAUUUUUUUACCAUGUUGUUAACUAGACAAUAAGUGAUAUUUCUUUUAUUUUACAAUAAUGGGGGCUGAACCCAGGGGUACUCAUUAAGUUGCACAGGGUAGUCUAGAACUUGCAGUCCUCCUGCCUGAGCCCUCUGAGUCACCAGGAUUACAGCAGGUGUGCACUACCAUGUCU